GAUGAACGCUGGCGGCGUGCCUAAUACAUGCAAGUCGAGCGAACAGACGAGGAGCUUGCUCCUCUGACGUUAGCGGCGGACGGGUGAGUAACACGUGGAUAACCUACCUAUAAGACUGGGAUAACUUCGGGAAACCGGAGCUAAUACCGGAUAAUAUAUUGAACCGCAUGGUUCAAUAGUGAAAGACGGUUUUGCUGUCACUUAUAGAUGGAUCCGCGCCGCAUUAGCUAGUUGGUAAGGUAACGGCUUACCAAGGCAACGAUGCGUAGCCGACCUGAGAGGGGGAUCGGCCACCCGGGAACUGAGACACGGUCCAGCCUCCUACGGGAGGAAGCAGUAGGUAAUCUUCCGAAAUGGGCGAAGGCCUAACGGAGCAACGCGGCUGGAGUGAUGAAGGUCUCCGGAUGGUAAAGCUCUGUAUUAGGGAAGAACAAAUGUGUAAGUAACUAUGCACGUCUUGACGGUACCUAAUCAGAAAGCCACGGCUAACUACGUG
rnacentral:rRNA from 1 species